rnacentral:lncRNA from 1 species
UCUCCUUAUCAUGCAUAUUUUCUCCUUCUCUACUUUCUUCCUUCUUCCCUUCCUUAACUCUGGAUGUAUAUUCCAGCAUGUUGCUUCAUCAUGGCCUUGUAAACAAAACUCUCUAUAAUAGUUUGGCUUGUAAUCAUACUGUAUAGUUAUCCACUUAGAUUUAAUGUGUUCAGUCUCAUCUUCUUCAUUUAUCUUCACUCUAUGUGGUAAUUGAGC